rnacentral:rRNA from 1 species
CAGAGGGUUCGAUCCUGGCUCAGAUUGAACGCUGGCGGGAUGCUUUACACAUGCAAGUCAGGCAGCACAGCACGGACUUCGGUCUGGUGGCGAGUGGCGAACGGGUGAAAUGUAUCGGAACGUGCCUAGUAGCGGGGGAUAACUACGCGAAAGCGUAGCUAAUACCGCAUACGCCCUUCGGGGAAAAGCGGGGGACCUUCGGGCCUCUCGCACUAUUAGAGCGGCCGAUAUCGGAUUAGCUAGUUGGUGGGGUAACGGCUCACCAAGGCGACGAUCCGUAGCUGGUUUGAGAGGACGACCAGCCACACUGGGACUGAGACACGGCCCAGACUCCUACAGGAGGCAGCAGUGGGGGAAUUUUGGACAAUGGGGAAACCCUGAUCCAGCCAUCCCGCGUGUGCGAUGAAGGCCUUCCGGGUUGUAAAGCACUUUUGGCAGGAAAGAAACGGCACGGGAUAAUACCCGUGCAACUGACGGUACCUGCAGAAUAAGCACCGGCUAACUACGUGCCAGCAGCCGCGGUAAUACGUAGGGUGCAAGCGUUAAUCGGAAUUACUGGGCGUAAAGCGUGCGCGGAGGUUCGGAAAAGAAGAUGUGAAAUCCCAGAGCUUAACUUUGGAACUGCAUUUUUAACUACCGAGCUAAGUGUGUCAGAGAGUGGAAUUCCGCGUGUAGCAGUGAAAUGCAUCAGAUAUGCGGAGGAACACCGAUGGCGAAGGCAGCCUCCUGGGAUAACACUGACGCUCAUGCACAGCGUGAGGGGAGCAAACAGGAUUAGAUACCCUGGUAGUCCACGCCUAAACGAUGUCAACCGUGUUGGGGCCUUCGGGCCUUGUUGGCCUGGCGCUAACGCGUGAAGUUGACCGCCUGGGGAAGUACGGUCGCAAGAUUAAAACUCAAAGGAAUUGACGGGGACCCGCACAAGCGGUGGAUGAUGUGGAUUAAUUCGAUGCAACGCGAAAAACCUUACCUACCCUUGACAUGUCUGGAAUCCGAAGAGAUUUGGGAGUGCUCGCAAGAGAACCGGAACACAGGUGCUGCAUGGCUGUCGUCAGCUCGUGUCGUGAGAUGUUGGGUUAAGUCCCGCAGCGAGCGCAACCCUUGUCAUUAGUUGCUACGAAAGGGCACUCUAAUGAGACUGCCGGUGACAAACCGGAGGAAGGUGGGGAUGACGUCAAGUCCUCAUAGCCCUUAUGGGCCAGGGCUUCACACGUCAUACAAUGGUCGGGACAGAGGGUCGCCAACCCGCGAGGGAGCCAAUCCCAGAAACCCGAUCGUAGUCGGAUCGCAGUCUGCAACUCGACUGCGUGAAGUCGGAAUCGCUAGUAAUCGCGGAUCAGCAUGUCGCGGUGAAUACGUUCCCGGGUCUUGUACACACCACCCGUCACACCAUGGGAGUGGGUUUUACCAGAAGUAGUUAGCCUAACCGUAAGGAGGGCGAUUACCACGGUAGGAUUCGCCUGUGACUGGGGUGAAGUCGUAACAAGGUAA